rnacentral:rRNA from 1 species
GACGAACGCUGGCGGCGUGCUUAACACAUGCAAGUCGAACGGAAAGGCCCUGCUUUUGUGGGGUGCUCGAGUGGCGAACGGGUGAGUAACACGUGAGUAACCUGCCCUUGACUUUGGGAUAACUUCAGGAAACUGGGGCGAAUACCGGAUAGGAGCUCCUGCUGCAUGGUGGGGGUUGGAAAGUUUCGGCGGUUGGGGAUGGACUGGCGGCUGAUCAGCUUGUUGGUGGGGUAGUGGCUUACCAAGGCUUUGACGGGUAGCCGGGGUGAGAGGGUGACCGGGCAGAGGGGGAGGGGGAUACGGGCGGGAGUGGUACGGGAGGGAGCGGUGGGGAGGAUUGCGCGAUGGGGGGAGGCCGGGUGCAGGAGCGCGGCGUGCGGGAUGGCGGCCUUCGGGUUGUGGGGCGGUUGCGCCUGUGACGAAGCGUGGGUGACGGUAAUGGGUAAAGAAGCACCGGCUAACUACGUG